GUGAGGAAUAUUGGUCAAUGGACGAGAGUCUGAACCAGCCAAGUAGCGUGAAGGAUGACUGCCCUAUGGGUUGUAAACUUCUUUUAUAAGGGAAUAAAGUGAGGGACGUGUCCCUUUUUGUAUGUACCUUAUGAAUAAGGAUCGGCUAACUCCGUGCCAGCAGCCGCGGUAAUACGGAGGAUCCGAGCGUUAUCCGGAUUUAUUGGGUUUAAAGGGAGCGUAGGUUGACAUAUAAGUCAGCUGUGAAAGUUUACGGCUCAACCGUGAAAUUGCAGUUGAUACUGUAUGUCUUGAGUGUACAAGAGGUGGGCGGAAUUCGUGGUGUAGCGGUGAAAUGCUUAGAUAUCACGAAGAACUCCAAUUGCGAAGGCAGCUCACUGGGGUACAACUGACACUGAGGCUCGAAAGUGUGGGUAUCAAACAGGAUUAGAAACCCGGGUAGUCC
rnacentral:rRNA from 1 species